GGAUUGUGGCUCAGUGGUAGAGCGCUCCCCUAGCAUGGGUGCUACCCGGGUUCAAUUCUCAGCACCA
rnacentral:tRNA from 1 species